CUGGCCACUGUCACAUGCAGUACCCGGUCACCCAGGUGUGGAGGGGCUUGCACACCUGCAUGUUGCAAACGUGGGGAGAACGACUUGCAAACAUGGAUAAGAUUUCAAUAGUUGCCCUGUUUUUUUUUUACAGCUACAAUUCCUCCUCUAGCAUCAACAAUUAAUGCUCAAGUUGAAAACAAGGCAUUUCUUUCAACCACAUCAAUUACAACUGAAACAGCUACAAAAACCACUACUAUGGUACCAUGGACCACGACAAAGGAAUUCGCAACUGCGACCAUGGCCAAUAAAGCCCACAUGAAGCGCUUCAGCCUAAACAGCGAUGAAUGCCACGAUCACAACCACCGACACCAUCGACGCCACCGACACU